AGACUAUCCUCAGAGAGUUCAUCCAAAAAAAAAUUGGCAGCAGCCCAUCUAAGAUCUUAUUUGAGUGAUGUUUACUUUGCACUUCAGGUGGCUCAAUUGGCUUUUAAUCAGAUUUCGGGUGCGCUCGGAUCUGGGCCAUUGUGAGUCCAACCUUUGAAGAUUGCUGGUUACAUCUUCUCUUUGCGUGCAUUUGAGCAGGCUAGAUGACUCAAUGGUGUUCUAUUAUGUCUGGUGAACAUGUGUUUCAACUCCACGAGCGGAUUCAAACGAGAUGCUUUGAGUAUUUGCAAAGUUCGGAGUAUUAUGUACAAGAUUGGCGAAUUAACCAACUUCAUGGAAGAUUUUGCCCCAAACGAGAUGCUUUGAGUAUUUGCAAAGUUCGGAGUCUAUUGUCAUUAUUUCUUUCAGUCUUGACAUCUCCAUCAGCCCGACUAAAGACUAUCCUCAGAGAGUUCAUCCAAAAAAAAUUGGCAGCAGCCCAUCUAAGAUCUUAUUUGAGUGAUGUUUACUUUGCACUUCAGGUGGCUCAAUUGGCUUUUAAUCAGAUUUCGGGUGCGCUCGGAUCUGGGCCAUUGUGAGUCCAACCUUUGAAGAUUGCUGGUUACAUCUUCUCUUUGCGUGCAUUUGAGCAGGCUAGAUGACUCAAUGGUGUUCUAUUAUGUCUGGUGAACAUGUGUUUCAACUCCACGAGCGGAU
rnacentral:lncRNA from 1 species